UAUGGAGUAGAUUGUGUAGAUCACUUUCAUCUUGUAAUGCUUCUCUUGACCCCAUUACAAAAAGUUAAUAUCUUGUUACUUUUCAACGGGCCAUCUGGCAGGUGGGACGGCUGGUGGCGGAGAGGCGGUCCUUCAUGUCUCCCAUGCACCACGUCCCCGUGGCUCAGCGGCUCGCGAUAUAUGAAUUUUCCUACGGCUAUGAGUAUGGCUCCUUUGCCUUUUCUGCGGCGACUCCUUCCCUGAGGCCACGCUGGCAGUCUCUCUACUACCCUCUGUCGGACUUCGUGUGGCUUGCUGUCUUGGCGGUGCUGCUCUUAGUUCCUGUCUCCUUUUAUGUCGUCAACAAGUUCGCUUCUUGGCUGAAUUCUGAGAAGGAAAUCAACUUUGGGAUGGCCUCCCAGAUGAUCGCCGCCACGCUCCUUGCCCAAGACCUGUCAAUCAAACCCCCUGAGUCCCACGCGAGCCGGGCCCUGGUGGCGGCGUGGCUGGUCUUCGCCCUCGUGCUGGGGACGGUGUACCGCGGCAACCUAACGGCCGCCCUCACCCUGCCUAAAUACCCACCCAGGCCGGAGACCGUCGAGGACCUGGUGCGUAGCUUCGACAGAAUAUCGAUGCCUUCCUAUGGACAAGUAUUCAUUGAAAACUUUAGGAACUCGACCUACUCCGUAUUCCGAGAAAUGGGGGAAAAGAUGUUCAUUAUCAACAACGCUUUAGAAGCAAUGGAACGAUCUGUGGACCACAGGUAACUGACACACACACAAAAUAAACUAUCUAAUUAACUAUACCAGCAAACAUUCUUGCUAAACAUGGUGAAUUGGUGAUGGUGAUGACAAAAAAAAAUAUCAGAACAAUUCUUCGCUUCGCAACCUCCAGAGAGGCUCACGUGGGGUGGAUGAGCUACAUGGCGACGCUAAUAGCACGACACUUCUUGCAAGCGGACGGAGGCGCCAAAAUUUACAUUGGACGUGAGAGUGUGUCCCGCACGCUCACGGCCUGGCCGCUGCCCCACGACGCGCCUUACAAGCGGCAAGUGGAUGCUAUCAUGGUGGCGGUGCUGGAGGCUGGACUGUACGAAGAGUGGAGAAAAGACUUCCUGGACAUGAUCGAAAGGGAAACUCGCAGGAAGCAAAGGCGGCUGCAGGAGGAGGCAGACCAAGCGGAAAGUUCGGAAGUAGUCGGCGGGUUGGUGCGUGCCCUCAGCCUGGUACAUAUGCAGGGGCCCAUCUUUAUUCUGCUGCUGGGGCUCGGCACUGCGGCUGUCGUGUUCACCGUGGAAGUCACUGUUUUCUAUUACUCCCUGUGUUCUGCCGUGUGAAGUUAAUGAUGACACUUUGAAUUGAAACUGUUGACUUAAGAACUACCUGCUACAAUCCGACUGCUGGAAACUUAUUUUUUUUACAGUAAAGGAAACAACUCAAGGGCAAACGCAAAACCAGAGAAAAAGCCCGCUAUGUGCUGCUCCUGCAAAGAAAACAGAGCAGGUGGCCAGAAGUGAGGGGCACUUUCAGGAGAGGCGUCUUGAUGUAGAUCCAGACAAACCUUUCCAAUAACACAUAUGUUAAUGAAGGGGAGCAGUCUUGCCGUAUAUUACCUUUUGUGCUGAUCAGAAAAAAAGCCAGCUUGCAGAAUUUAGUAAAUUCUAUUGACCGGUAAAUAUUUACUUUGAUCGUGCGGCCUCAUUUGCAGGAAUAUUUUCUGUGAGUUUUAUAUGUAUAUUUAAGCGUUGCAAUGCAGUUGACCUACCCAGUAUUCAGCAACCUUAAGUUAAACGUAUUUGCUGUAAAAUGAAAAGAACCAAGGGGCCAAAAUUGUAUCCAAAAUAUUGCUGCUCAUUAAACGGGUGUUCUGACGAAGCCAGUUUGAUGCUGCGCCAGACAUGCGCAACAGUUUACUUGUUAAGAAUUGUUACACCCCGGGCUGGUGGACGCCCUGGCACUGAUGCACUUGUAGGAACCACUAUUGUUAUUGGUGAUGAUGAUGAUGAUCAUGGCUUUCUUCUUUGUGUUCACGGCAGAAAUGAUCACUUACACUUCCCUCAUUUUUUUUUUUCAAGAUUAAAUGGCAACAGUGAUGACGAAGACACUACAAGAAUGGAGUGCUAGUGCUGCUGAAGCUUUAAUCUAUAAUGGUAAAGGCACUGCACUGAAUAAAACGUUCUAAGACUUUCUUGUGUCAAAAUUCAUGUUGCAGCAUUUCUCUACGACUGGCUCAUGAGCAAGAAAACCAUGUGGUGAAUCAGAUGUGAAAGCAAUGUUUGUCCAAGCACUAAUUUACCUGUUCGCAAUAGAGGUAAAAAAAAUGUCAGAGCGCCAAUAUUCAUUAUUUUGAUUUUUUUUAGGGUGCCUCCGAAUUGUCGCAGCUGAGCGACAUGGCAGUAUAUGCAAAAAAAAAAAAAA